rnacentral:snRNA from 1 species
GUGCUCGCUUAGGCAGCACAUAUACUAAAAUUGGAACGUUGCAGAGAAGAUUAGCACCGCCCCUGUGCAAGGAUGACGCGUAAAUUCGUGAAGUGUUCCAUAUUUUG